GAGUUUGAUCAUGGCUCAGAGUGAACGCUGGCGGUAGGCCUAACACAUGCAAGUCGAACGGCAGCACAGGAGAGCUUGCUCUCUGGGUGGCGAGUGGCGGACGGGUGAGGAAUACAUCGGAAUCUACCUUUUCGUGGGGGAUAACGUAGGGAAACUUACGCUAAUACCGCAUACGACCUACGGGUGAAAGUGGGGGACCGCAAGGCCUCACGCGAUUAGAUGAGCCGAUGUCCGAUUAGCUAGUUGGCGGGGUAAUGGCCCACCAAGGCGACGAUCGGUAGCUGGUCUGAGAGGAUGAUCAGCCACACUGGAACUGAGACACGGUCCAGACUCCUACGGGAGGCAGCAGUGGGGAAUAUUGGACAAUGGGCGCAAGCCUGAUCCAGCCAUACCGCGUGAAUGAAGAAGGCCUCGGUUGUAAGUU
rnacentral:rRNA from 1 species